CCUACCACUACAAGUCACCACCACCUCCUUCUCCUUCUCCUCCAGUGUACUCACCACCUAAGCAUCCCUACCACCCCAAGUCACCACCACCAUCACCAAAGCCUUACCACUACAAGUCCCCACCACCACCUCCUCCUCCAGUGCACUCACCACCCCCACCAAAGGAGCCUUACCACUACAAGUCUCCACCACCACCACCCAAGAAACCUCACCAUCACAAGUCUCCUCCACCACCACCCAGGAAGCCCUACCACCCGGUGCACUCACCCCCACCACCAAAGAAGCCUUACCAUUACAAGUCUCCUCCACCACCACCCAAGAAGCCCUACCACCCGGUGCACUCACCCCCACCACCAAAGAAGCCUUACCAUUACAAGUCUCCUCCACCACCACCCAAGAAGCCCUACCACCCGGUGCACUCCCCACCACCACCAAAGAAGCCUUACCAUUACAAGUCUCCUCCACCACCACCCAAGAAGCCCUACCACCCGGUGCACUCACCCCCACCACCAAAGAAGCCUUACCAUUACCAAUCCCCACCACCACCACCACCACACAAGAAGCCUCACCACCCAGUUCACUCACCAC
rnacentral:lncRNA from 1 species